AGAACUUGUAAGCAUGCGAGCCCUGUUUAUGUGAACAGGCACGUCAAACAUAAUAAUCACCAGUUAAACGUAGGUCUUUGCGAAAGUACGAUAGCAAUGCCGAGACUAAAAAUAAAGACACAACGUUCCACAUGAUCCAGUGAAAUUUUUGUUAUUAGUUCAAGCUGGGUAGGCAGUAGCAGAACUUGGUUGCAUUUCCUCCUUCACCAUGGCAGAUUGUUUGAAGCAACC
rnacentral:lncRNA from 1 species